rnacentral:rRNA from 1 species
CACACGAGGUGCUGCAUGGCGUGUCGUCAGCUCGUGUCGUGAGAUGUUGGGUUAAGUCCCGCAACGAGCGCAACCCUUGCCAUUAGUUGCUACGAAAGGGCACUCUAAUGGGACUGCCGGUGACAAACCGGAGGAAGGUGGGGAUGACGUCAAGUCCUCAUGGCCCUUAUAGGUGGGGCUACACACGUCAUACAAUGGCCGGUACAGAGGGUAGCCAACCCGCGAGGGGGAGCCAAUCCCACAAAGCCGGUCGUAGUCCGGAUCGCAGUCUGCAACUCGACUGCGUGAAGUCGGAAUCGCUAGUAAUCGCGGAUCAGCAUGUCGCGGUGAAUACGUUCCCGGGUCUU